rnacentral:lncRNA from 1 species
GGGUAAAGUAGGGAUGUUCUGCCAGUUUAUCAACAUGGAGUAAUUUCUAUUAUCUGUAAAUUAAAACAACUCAAAGGCAGAUGUGUUAAUUUCCGUAUAUGAUAAGUAAUGCAAAAUAUUUGCCAUGAAAUAACCACGUAGAGUUGUUUGAGUCGUAGCCAAGUUCGUCUAUAGGACAUAGUGGAUAUACUUGCCUUUGAUCCAAACAAACGCACAUAAGAACAUAAGAUAGUUAUAUCACACAAAAACAUUAUAAUAACGCGUAUCCUAGCUGGGGUAACCCUUUUUGAGCCAAGGGUUCAGGC